rnacentral:rRNA from 1 species
AGAGUUUGAUCCUGGCUCAGGACGAACGCUGGCGGCGUGCUUAACACAUGCAAGUCGAGCGCUGAAGCCUCUUUGGGGGUGGAUGAGCGGCGAACGGGUGAGUAACACGUGGGUGACCUGCCCCCUACUCCGGGAUAAGCCUGGGAAACUGGGUCUAAUACCGGAUAUGACUGCUUGUUGCAUGACAGGUGGUGGAAAGUUUUUCGGUGGGGGAUGGGCCCGCGGCCUAUCAGCUUGUUGGUGGGGUGAUGGCCUACCAAGGCGACGACGGGUAGCCGGCCUGAGAGGGCGACCGGCCACACUGGGACUGAGACACGGCCCAGACUCCUACGGGAGGCAGCAGUGGGGAAUAUUGCGCAAUGGGCGGAAGCCUGACGCAGCGACGCCGCGUGGGGGAUGACGGCCUUCGGGUUGUAAACCUCUUUCGACCCCGACGAAGGUUUCUGACGUAGGG